CGUCUCGUAGCUCAACUGGUGGAGCGCUUCGCUGAUAUCGAAGAGGCUGGGGGUUCAAGUCCCUCCGAGACGA
rnacentral:tRNA from 1 species